rnacentral:rRNA from 14 species
GGAGUGACGGCGUACCUUUUGUAUAAUGGGUCAUCGACUUGGUCUAUCUAGCAAGCUUAAGCCGUUAGGUGUAGGCGUAGCGAAAGCGAGUCUGAAUAGGGCGAAUGAGUUAGAUGGAUCAGACCCGAAACCGAGUGAUCUAGGCAUGACCAGGCUGAAGGUAAGGUAACACUUACUGGAGGGCCGAACCCACACCUGUUGAAAAAGGUCGGGAUGAGUUGUGCCUAGGGGUGAAAGGCCAAUCAAACCCGGAGAUAGCUGGUUCUCCGCGAAAACUAUUUAGGUAGUGCGUCGAGUAUUACCCUCGGGGGUAGAGCACUGGAUGGGCUAGGGGGGCGCGAGCCUUACCAAACCUAACCAAACUCCGAAUACCGGUGAGUACAGCACGGCAGACAGUCCAUGGGUGCUAAGGUCCGUGGACGAGAGGGAAACAGCCCAGACCUCCAGCUAAGGCCCCCAAGUGGCGGCUAAGUGGGAAAGGAUGUGGGAAGGCCAAGACAACCAGGAGGUUGGCUUAGAAGCAGCCACCCUUUAAAGAAAGCGUAAUAGCUCACUAGUCGAGUCGGCCUGCGCGGAAGAUGUAACGGGGCUCAAACUGGUCACCGAAGCUGCGGCUGCAUACUUUGUAUGCGGGGUAGGGGAGCGUUCUGUAAGCCUGCGAAGGUGUGUUGAGAAGCAUGCUGGAGGUAUCAGAAGUGCGAAUGCUGACAUGAGUAACGAUAAUGGGAGUGAAAAACUCCCACGCCGGAAGACCAAGGUUUCCUGUCCCAUGCUAAUCAGGGCAGGGUAAGUCGGCCCCUAAGGCGAGGCAGAAAUGCGUAGUCGAUGGGAAACGGGUUAAUAUUCCCGUACUUGUUAUUACUGCGAUGGGAUGACGGAGAAGGUUAGGUCAGCCAACUGUUGGAUAUGUUGGUUUAACUGUGUAGGCGUGCUGCUUAGGAAAAUCCGGGCGGCUUAGCUGAGACAGGACGACGAGCUCAAAUUUGAGCGAAGUGAUUGAUACCCGGCUUCCAGGAAAAGUCUCUAAGCUUCAGGUAAUAACAAACCGUACCCCAAACCGACACAGGUGGGUGGGAUGAGAAUUCUAAGGCGUUUGAGACAACUCGGGUGAAGGAACUCGGCAAAAUGGUACCGUAACUUCGGGAGAAGGUACGCCCCUGCCGGUGAUGAGACUUGCUCUCUAAGCUAGUGGGGGUUGCAGUGACCAGUUGGCUGCGACUGUUUAGCAAAAACACAGCACUCUGCAAACACGAAAGUGGACGUAUAGGGUGUGACGCCUGCCCGGUGCCGGAAGGUUAAUUGAUGGGGUUAGCGCUUGCGCGAAGCUCUUGAUCGAAGCCCCGGUAAACGGCGGCCGUAACAAUAACGGUCCUAAGGUAGCGAAAUUCCUUGUCGGGUAAGUUCCGACCUGCACGAAUGGCGUAACGACUUCCCCGCUGUCUCCAGCGCAGACUCAGCGAAAUUGAAUUCUCCGUGAAGAUGCGGAGUACCCGCGGUCAGACGGAAAGACCCCGUGCACCUUUACUACAGCUUUGCAGUGGCAUCAGAAGAUGAAUGUGUAGGAUAGGCGGGAGGCUUUGAAGCACCGGCGCCAGUUGGUGUGGAGCCAUCCUUGAAAUACCGCCCUUUGAUCUUUUGAUGUCUAACCGCGGACCGUCAUCCGGUUCCGGGACCCUGCAUGGCGGGUAGUUUGACUGGGGCGGUCGCCUCCCAAAGAGUAACGGAGGCGCGCGAAGGUUGGCUCAGAGCGGUCGGAAAUCGCUCGUUGAGUGCAAUGGCAUAAGCCAGCCUGACUGCGAGACUGACAGGUCGAGCAGAGUCGAAAGACGGCCAUAGUGAUCCGGUGGUCCCGCGUGGAAGGGCCAUCGCUCAACGGAUAAAAGGUACGCCGGGGAUAACAGGCUGAUGAUGCCCAAGAGUCCAUAUCGACGGCAUUGUUUGGCACCUCGAUGUCGGCUCAUCGCAUCCUGGGGCUGGAGCAGGUCCCAAGGGUUUGGCUGUUCGCCAAUUAAAGCGGUACGUGAGCUGGGUUUAGAACGUCGUGAGACAGUUCGGUCCCUAUCUGCCGUGGGUGUAGGAUACUUGAGAGGAGUUGCCCCUAGUACGAGAGGACCGGGGUGAACGAUCCACUGGUGGACCUGUUGUCGUGCCAACGGCAGUGCAGGGUAGCUAUGAUCGGACAGGAUAACCGCUGAAGGCAUCUAAGCGGGAAGCCCCCCUCAAAACAAGGUAUCCCUGAGGACCGUGGUAGACCACCACGUCGAUAGGCCGGAGAUGUAAGCGCAGCAAUGCGUUCAGUUGACCGGUACUAAUUG